rnacentral:rRNA from 1 species
GAACGCUGGCGGCGUGCUUAACACAUGCAAGUCGAGCGGAAAGGCCCUUCGGGGUACUCGAGCGGCGAACGGGUGAGUAACACGUGAGCAACCUGCCCUCAACUUCGGGAUAAGCCUGGGAAACCGGGUCUAAUACCGGAUACGACCUGUGGUGGCAUCACUUCGGGUGGAAAGUUUUUUCGGUUGGGGAUGGGCUCGCGGCCUAUCAGCUUGUUGGUGGGGUAGUGGCCUACCAAGGCGACGACGGGUAGCCGGCCUGAGAGGGCGACCGGCCACACUGGGACUGAGACACGGCCCAGACUCCUACGGGAGGCAGCAGUGGGGAAUAUUGCGCAAUGGGCGGAAGCCUGACGCAGCGACGCCGCGUGGGGGAUGACGGCCUUCGGGUUGUAAACCUCUUUCAGCAGGGACGAAGUUGACGUGUACCUGUAGAAGAAGCGCCGGCUAACUACGUGCCAGCAGCCGCGGUAAUACGUAGGGCGCGAGCGUUGUCCGGAAUUAUUGGGCGUAAAGAGCUCGUAGGUGGCUUG